rnacentral:lncRNA from 1 species
AGCACUUUUCAGCAGGCUUCAACUGAUAGCAGGUGGGUUGAUACUAUGCAACAUGAAAUCAAAGCCCUUCAGGAUGAUCAUACUUGGGAGAUAGUAGACUUACCAGCUGGGAAGCAGCCAUUGGGUCAAAAUAGGUGUACAAAAUUAAAUACAAGGCUAAUUGAGAGGUAGAGAGAUACAAGGCAAAGCUAGUUGCCAAGGGGUAUAAUCAAACGAAAGGGCUAGACGAUCAUGACACAUUUUCACCUGUAGAAAAAAUGAUCACAGUUAGGACCAUUAUAAGCAUAGCUGCUGCAAAAGAUUGGCAUUUAUAUCAAAUGGAUGUUAGCAAUACUUUCUUACAGGGAGACCUCUAUGAGGGGGUCUACAUGCAAUUGCCUCAAGGAUUUCACAAGCAGGGGGAGUUGAAAGUGUGUAGGCUUGUGAAAUCUCUCUAUGGACUCAAACAGGUAUCCAGACAAUGGAACAUAAAACUCAAUAACGCACUUAUUCAUAUUGGCUAUAAACAAAGUGCAUUUGAUCAUUCUUUAUUCACAAACCAGCAAGGAAAAUAGAUGAUCAUCAUACUAGUCUAUGUUGAUGAUUUGCUUAUUACUGAGAGUUGUCCAAGCCUAGUCAAUGAUGCUAAGGCAACUCUGCAUAGAAAGUUCAAAGUCAAAGACUUGGAUCAGUUAAGAUAAUAUUUCCUUGGAACUGAGAUCUCAAGGUCCAAGAAGGGGAUCUUACUCAACCAAGGAAGUAUGCUCUAGAAUUAAUCUUAGAGGCACGUUUGAGUGGUGCAAAACCAGUUGCAACUCCUAUAGAGACGAAUCAGAAAUUGAUGACAGUGGAGUAUGACACUUGUGUUGGGAAGACAGGUGACUCAGAAUUAAGGGACAGCUCAGCAUAUCAAAGGUUAAUGUGUCACACAUUUUUCUCCCAAAGGGAUAAGGGGUUUUUUCAAUUAAAGUGACAUUAUUCGAAAUGAGAUUAUUUAUUCAAUUUUCAGAGUCGCCACUUGGGAUAAUUUAUGGUGUCCCAAGUCACCGGUUUAUUUUAAAUCCCAAAUCGAAGAAAUUUGACUCUAUUUAAAGUCUGCGAAAUCAAAAGACCAGGUAAGGAAUUCUGUUAACCCGGGAGAAGGUGUUAGGCAUUCCCGAGUUCCGUGAUUUUAGCACAGUCACUUUUAAUCAUAUCUGGCUUAGCUAAUUGUUUAAUUACACAUUUUUAAAAAAACUAUGUGUAUUUAACCACUUUUGAUUAUGGUGUUUAUGGAUUUAUCUUGAAACGAGUCACACGUAUGUGUACCUUUUUGUUUGGCACGUCAAGAAUCAUGUCACGCGUACGUAUAUACAAUUCAUAACAUUUAAUUGUUUACGAUUGUUUGGCCAAAGUCACACGAGCGCAUACCUUGAUUUAUUUUGAGAAUCAUAAUUAUGUCACGCGAACGUGUACACAAUCACAAUAAUUGAUUAGGCGUAAUUACCAACACCGCUUGUACUUCGAUUCCUUUUGAGAAACUAGUUUGAACUCCUAAUUUACCAUAUAUUGCCUCGAUUAACACAUUCAGAAGAGACAUUCUGCUAUGCGAUUUCAAAUCCAUCUAGAAGAUGCUUAUUAGGCCAAUUCUCCAAACUUAUAUCUAAUAUUUUAAUAAACAUACUUUGAGAUAAAUGAUAUAAUCACAUGGAUAAGAAAUUUGCUAAUUAAACUAAUAAUGAAACUCAACAACUAAAUAAGAACAAACAAUCAGAGAAAACACACCUCGUUCACAUAGAUUUCACAAAAAAAAAAAAAAAAAAUUAUGUAUUCAUAUACAUAGUAAUAUAACAAAAUAAAAUGAAAGAAGUAAAUCUCACAAUUAACCUUCAUAUAAGCGGAACUAGUUACUGUUAACCGGACCAAAAAAUGGAAACCUCGAACGGAACUACGGACGGAACCGCGAACCGAGCCGCAAACGGACUCAAUUUGGCUUCUUCAUGAUUUCUGGAAUUCCAAUGUAAACGAGAGGACUUCUACUUGAACUUAGAGUGAAACGGAGUGCUCAAGUUCUUUAAGAUAAUCUAUGAAAUUGGUGAAUAAUUCUGACUUUUCCUUUCGAAAUUGUUGAAUUAAGAUAAUGAUGGAGAAGAAGAGGGAGUUGUUGGUGGAAAGAGAUGAAUAUGCCGGAACCAGGGUGCUGCUGUCAUUUUAUUUGAAGAAGAAAUAGACGUUCUUCUUUCCUUUUAUCGUAUGCGGCUG